rnacentral:rRNA from 1 species
AGUGGCGGACGGGUGAGUAACGCGUGAGAAUCUGCCUUGGGGUCGGGGACAACCACUGGAAACGGUGGCUAAUACCGGAUAAGCCGAUUGGUGAAAGAUUUAUUGCCCGAAGAGGAGCUCGCGUCUGAUUAGCUAGUUGGUGAGGUAAGAGCUCACCAAGGCAGCGAUCAGUAGCUGGUCUGAGAGGACGAUCAGCCACACUGGGACUGAGACACGGCCCAGACUCCUACGGGAGGCAGCAGUGGGGAAUUUUCCGCAAUGGGCGAAAGCCUGACGGAGCAAGACCGCGUGAGGGAGGAAGGCUCUUGGGUUGUAAACCUCUUUUCUCAGGGAAGAAGCUCUGACGGUACCUGAGGAUCAGCCUCGGCUAACUCCGUGCCAGCAGCCGCGGUAAUACGGAGGAGGCAAGCGUUAUCCGGAAUUAUUAGGCGUAAAGCGUCCGCAGGUGGCGAUUCAAGUCUGCUGUCAAAGCACGGGGCUUAACUCCGUAAAGGCAGUGGAAACUGAAUAGCUAGAGUGCCGUAGGGGUAGAGGGAAUUCUCGGUGUAGCGGUGAAAUGCGUAGAGAUCGGGAAGAACAUCGGUGGCGAAAGCGCUCUACUGGACGGCAACUGACACUCAGGGACGAAAGCUAGGGGAGCGAAUGGGAUUAGAUACCCC